UUAAUUGAAACCAAAAAGAGGUAUAUCAUUGUUAAUGAUAAAAAUGAAAUUUAUUCCAAUUAAA
rnacentral:tRNA from 1 species